rnacentral:sRNA from 1 species
UUCAUAUUUCAUAUAAAAGCAUAUAUUAUUGGCUUAUGGUUAUAUUGAACUUUUUUUCUUUAAUAAAAAAAUUAAAUAUAGAAGUUGCAUAUAAAAAAAAGUUUAUAUGAACAUAUACAUAUAUACUUGUAUACUCUUGUUGCUAUCUUUUUUAUUAUUAAUAUAAGUUCUUGACAUAUGAGAAUAAAACAUUGUAUAUAUUAAAUUAAUAUGAAAGAUUGAUCACCUGGUAUUUUCCAUUUCAUUGUUUCAAAUUAUAAGGUAAUGUAUAUAAUGAAUGUCCACAUAAAAUGAAUAAUUAUAUGUACAUUUAUAUAUAUAUAUGUAAAUUUUUUUAAUGUUUUAUUUUAUAUAAAUAAUAAUAUUGUGCAUAAUGUAUUCAUAUAUUUCUUGAAAAAUAUUUAUAUCUUCAUUUUUUUUUUUUUUUUAACACUCAAUUGAGAAAUAUGAUCAUUGUAAAAAUAUAGAGAUUGUAUUCUAUCAAACCAUAGUGUAGGCAUAUGACAUAUAAAUUAUUAUGUAUGACAUAUAAAUUGUUAUGUAUGUCAUAUAAAUUAUCAUGUAUGAUAUAUUAAAUAUAUUGUAUUAUAUUUAUAUAACAUUUAUAAUAUAUACAUAUUACAUAUAUAGAAUUUUAUUUAAAAAAAUAAUUUCCAUGCCACAAUAUUUUUUUUUUUACACACAAAAUAAUAUGCACUAAAAAUGAUAUGUAUAAUAUGUAUAACAUAUUUUUUAUAUAUGUACAUUUUUUUUUAAAUAUAUUUUAAUAUAAAGUAAAAAUAAUAUAUAAUUAACAAAAAAAAAUAAAAAAAAAAAAUAAAAAAAAAAUAAAAAAAAAAAAAUAAAAUUAUAGUAUGGUAAUAAAUAUGUAUUAUUUCAUAUAUGUAUGAUAUUAUAAAUUAUUAUUAUUUUUUUUUUUUUUUUUUUUUUUUUUUUUUUUUGUAUAUAUUGUAAAAUAGGAACUGCAUAUGCAUGUAAUUUUAUGUAUAUAUAAUAUUUUCCUUUAUAUGUGUAUUAUUUCAUUUUAUUUUUACAUUAUAUAUUACCACGUUUACACGUAACGCAUGUUAAUUUUUUUUGUGAGCGCAUCGGAUGUAUGAUAUCUAAAAAGAAGAAAUAAAAUAUGAAAAGUUUAAAAAAUAUAAAAAAAUAAAUAUCUUUUU